rnacentral:rRNA from 1 species
UCAGGCCUAACACAUGCAAGUCGAACGCUAUCUUGUAUAGAGUGGCGCACGGGUGAGUAACGCGUGGGAACCUGCCUUUCUCUGCGGGACAACGGUUGGAAACGACCGCUAAUACCGCAUACGCCCUACGGGGGAGAGGUCAGCCGGAGAAAGAGGGGCCCGCGUUAGAUUAGCUAGUUGGUGGGGUAAUGGCCUACCAAGGCAACGAUCUAUAGCUGGUCUGAGAGGAUGAUCAGCCACACUGGGACUGAGACACGGCCCAGACUCCUACGGGAGGCAGCAGUGGGGAAUAUUGGACAAUGGGGGCAACCCUGAUCCAGCAAUGCCGCGUGUGUGAUGAAGGCCCUAGGGUUGUAAAGCACUUUCACUGGUGAAGAUGAUGACGGUAACCAGAGAAGAAGCCCCGGCUAACUUCGUGCCAGCAGCCGCGGUAAUACGAAGGGGGCGAGCGUUGUUCGGAAUUACUGGGCGUAAAGGGCGCGUAGGCGGCUCUUUAAGUUAGGCGUGAAAGCCCCGGGCUCAACCUGGGAACUGCGCUUAAGACUGGAGAGCUAGAAAACGGAAGAGGGUAGUGGAAUUCCCAGUGUAGAGGUGAAAUUCGUAGAUAUUGGGAAGAACACCAGUGGCGAAAGCGGCUACCUGGUCCGGAUUUGACGCUGAGGCGCGAAAGCGUGGGGAGCAAACAGGAUUAGGUACCCUG